rnacentral:rRNA from 1 species
CAGGGGGGCAAAUGUUGUUCGGAAUCACUGGGCGUAAAGGGAGCGUAGGCGGGUUUUUAAGUCAGGUGUUUAAUCCCGGGGGCCAACCCCGGACCGGCACUUGAAACUGGGAAUCUUGAAUAGUGGAGAGGUCAGUGGAAUUGGGGGUGUAGCGGUGGAGUGCGUAGAGAUCCCCAAGAACACCAGUUGCGAAGGCGGCUGACUGGACACAUAUUGACGCUGAGGCUCGAAAGCAUGGGGAGCAAACAGGAUUAGAUACCCUGGUAGUCCAUGCCAUAAACGAUGAUUACUAGGUUUUGGGCCCGUCAACGGUCCAGAGCCGCAGCUAACGCGUUAAGUAAUCCGCCUGGGGAGUACGGUCGCAAGACUG